CCUACGGGUGGCUGCAGUGGGGGAUAUUGCACAAUGGGGGAAACCCUGAUGCAGCGACGCCGCGUGGGCGAAGAAGUAUUUCGGUAUGUAAAGCCCUAUCAGCAGGGAAGACGAACUGACGGUACCUGAGUACGAAGCACCGGCUAAAUACGCGCCAGCAGCCGCGGUAGUACGUAUGGUUCAAGCGUUAUCCGGAUUUACUGGGUGUAAAGUGAGCGCAGGCGGAACGGCAAGCGUGAUGGGAAAGCCCGCGGCCCAACCGCGGGACUGCUGUGGGAACUACCGGGCUGGAGUGCCGGAGAGGUAGGCGGAAUUCCUAGUGUAGCGGUGAAAUGCGUAGAUAUUAGGAGGAACACCAGUGGCGAAGGCG
rnacentral:rRNA from 1 species